rnacentral:rRNA from 1 species
UACGGAGGGUGCGAGCGUUGUCCGGAAUCACUGGGCGUAAAGGGCGCGUAGGUGGCGCGGGCAGUCAACGGUGAAAGUUCGGGGCUCAACCCUGAAUCGGCCGUCGAUACUCCCGAGCUCGAGCACUGUAGAGGCAGAUGGAAUUCCGGGUGUAGCGGUGGAAUGCGUAGAGAUCCGGAAGAACACCGGUGGCGAAGGCG